AUUGAACGCUGGCGGAAUGCUUUACACAUGCAAGUCGAACGGCAGCACGGGGGGCAACCCUGGUGGCGAGUGGCGAACGGGUGAGUAAUACAUCGGAACGUGCCCAGUCGUGGGGGAUAACGUAGCGAAAGCUACGCUAAUACCGCAUACGAUCUACGGAUGAAAGCGGGGGAUCGCAAGACCUCGCGCGAUUGGAGCGGCCGAUGGCAGAUUAGGUAGUUGGUGGGGUAAAGGCUCACCAAGCCGACGAUCUGUAGCUGGUCUGAGAGGACGACCAGCCACACUGGGACUGAGACACGGCCCAGACUCCUACGGGAGGCAGCAGUGGGGAAUUUUGGACAAUGGGCGCAAGCCUGAUCCAGCCAUUCCGCGUGCAGGAUGAAGGCCUUCGGGUUGUAAACUGCUUUUGUACGGAACGAAAAGGCUCUUUCUAAUACAGAGGGCUCAUGACGGUACCGUAAGAAUAAGCACCGGCUAACUACGUGCCAGCCGCCGCCGUAAGAC
rnacentral:rRNA from 1 species